GACGAACGCUGGCGGCGUGCCUAAUACAUGCAAGUCGAGCGAGCUUGCCUAGAUGAUUUUAGUGCUUGCACUAAAUGAAACUAGAUACAAGCGAGCGGCGGACGGGUGAGUAACACGUGGGUAACCUGCCCAAGAGACUGGGAUAACACCUGGAAACAGAUGCUAAUACCGGAUAACAACACUAGACGCAUGUCUAGAGUUUGAAAGAUGGUUCUGCUAUCACUCUUGGAUGGACCUGCGGUGCAUUAGCUAGUUGGUAAGGUAACGGCUUACCAAGGCAAUGAUGCAUAGCCGAGUUGAGAGACUGAUCGGCCACAUUGGGACUGAGACACGGCCCAAACUCCUACGGGAGGCAGCAGUAGGGAAUCUUCCACAAUGGACGAAAGUCUGAUGGAGCAACGCCGCGUGAGUGAAGAAGGGUUUCGGCUCGUAAAGCUCUGUUGGUAGUGAAGAAAGAUAGAGGUAGUAACUGGCCUUUAUUUGACGGUAAUUACUUAGAAAGUCACGGCUAACUACGUG
rnacentral:rRNA from 1 species